rnacentral:lncRNA from 1 species
GUCAGAACAGUUACAGAAAACAGGGAGUAAUUUGCAUCUUUACAUGGGGGUGUUGGAGACAUCAUCCUUAGUUAAUGGAGACAGCCUUAGAUGGGAAUACAAUAAAGGAAUGUACUUGCUGAGUGUAAACUGCAUCUCAGUUACAUCUGGAAGCAAGAGUGAAGAGCUGGCAGAUGUAGGUGUUUACAGCUGGAAGCCUCGUGAGGAACUGCUGAUGAAACUGGGAUUGUUUUGAUUGUGGAAGAGGAGCCUUGGAUACCAUAUCACUCUAUAAAUACCUGAAAGAGGGAUGUGGCAAGGGAGAUAUUGUCCUCUUCUCCUGUGUAAGUAGCAACAAGACUAGAGGGGAUAGCAUCAAGUUACGGAGGAAAAAAUAAGUUACGUACUAGGAAAAAGUUAUAUACUAGGAAAAAUUUAUUCUCUGAAAGAGUGGUGAGAUGCUGGAACGGGCUGCCCAGUCACCCCAUGGAAGUGUUCAAGAAACAUUCAAAUGUUGUACUUAGGGACACGAUUUAGUGUGGAAAUAUUGGUGGUAGGUUGAUGGUUGAACUAGAUGAUUGUGUAUGCCUUUUCCAAUAUUAGUGAUUCUAUGAUUCUAUGAAAUACAGCUGCUGGACAGAUGCAGGACUUACCUACAUCUAAACAAAAUGCAACUCAUUAACUGAUACAUUUUUGAAAGUCAUUUAUACAUGAUAUCUCUGCUGUGGAAGUGAAAGUGUUGGUGACUUCUUAAUGGCUGAUUUAAACGGAAUUCAUUUUCUAAAUGGAUUUCAUGCCGGAGAUACAGUGAGAUGGAGAAGUGUCAGCAAAGAGUAUAAUAAAUGUUGGAAGUCACAUUAAGAGACUGUAAGG